UGGGUUUGACAUGCGCAGGACGUAUCUAGAGAUAGGUAUUCCCUUGUGGCCUGCGUGCAGGUGGUGCAUGGCUGUCGUCAGCUCGUGUCGUGAGAUGUUGGGUUAAGUCCCGCAACGAGCGCAACCCUUGUCCUAUGUUGCCAGCGGGUAAUGCCGGGGACUCGUAGGAGACUGCCGGGGUCAACUCGGAGGAAGGUGGGGAUGACGUCAAGUCAUCAUGCCCCUUAUGUCCAGGGCUUCACACAUGCUACAAUGGCCAGUACAGAGGGCUGCGAAGCCGCAAGGUGGAGCGAAUCCCUUAAAGCUGGUCUCAGUUCGGAUUGGGGUCUGCAACUCGACCCCAUGAAGUCGGAGUCGCUAGUAAUCGCAGAUCAGCAACGCUGCGGUGAAUACGUUCCCGGGCC
rnacentral:rRNA from 1 species